rnacentral:misc_RNA from 1 species
GUUUGUUUUUGAAAGAAAUGGCCAAUGCAAUUCGUUUCUUUCAGUUGAACACCGGAGCCAAAAUCCCUUCUGUUGGGCUGGGUACUUGGCAGUCUGCCCCUGGUGUUGUUGGUGAUGCUGUUAUUGCUGCCGUUAAGGUUGGAUAUAGACACAUAGAUUGUGCUGCAGUUUAUGGCAAUGAGAAGGAGGUUGGUUCGGCAUUGAAGAAGCUGUUUGAUGAUGGCGUAGUGAAGCGUGAGGAGUUGUGGAUCACCUCCAAACUCUGGUGUACUGAACAUGCACCAGAAGAUGUACCCGCAGCACUAAACAGAACUCUGCAGGACUUGCAACUCGAUUAUGUAGAUCUGUAUCUGAUUCACUGGCCAGCCAGCAUGAAGAAAGGGUCGGUUGGUUUUAAGCCCGAGAACCUUACACACCCUGAUAUACCCAGCACAUGGCGAGCAAUGGAAGCAUUGUUUGAUUCUGGCA